rnacentral:rRNA from 1 species
UACGGGGGGGGCGAGCGUUGUUCGGAAUCACUGGGCGUAAAGGGCGCGUAGGCGGCCCGCACAAGUCUGCGGUGAAAACCCCCGGCUUAACCGGGGGCCGGCCGUGGAAACUGUCGGGCUAGAGGCCGGGAGAGGGCAGCGGAAUUCCCGGUGUAGCGGUGAAAUGCGUAGAGAUCGGGAGGAACACCGGCGGCGAAGGCGGCUGCCUGGACCGGCCCUGACGCUGAGGCGCGAAAGCUAGGGGAGCAAACGGG